CAUACCCUUUCCACCUCAAAGAUACCAGAGCAUGCAGAAAAGGUCUAGAGAUUUUUCCAAGCCUUACUCGGAGAAAUCCCAAAGAAUUGUCAUUAUCUGAGGGUUCCUGGGAACACCUAAUUUGCAAAGGCAUCUUCAUUUGAGUUUCUUCUCUCAGAGUUUAAAGGCUUCUGCCUUGGGAUAGACAAGAUACACAGUAUUUGUUGAAAAUGUAUAGAUAAAUCGUAUGAAGCUAAGUAGACCCGGGGUAAUCCCCUUGGUUCCUUUGAUAUUGUGGUAUCAAAGUAGGAAUCAGCCAGUUUUUGUUCAUUAGAAUGGAAUAAGAUAGGAAGGACCCUGGCUGAAUUCUAAUUCUAAUUCUAGAAUGCAACUUAGAAAAACAGCUUUGCUUGGCUACUGUAGUUUCUCCUGUGUAAUAUAGAGAGUAAAUAGAAUUGUUAAACACUUGCCAUGUGAUUCUGCUCAUUUACUGACAUAUUCCAAUUCCAAUUUCUGUGGUCAACUCUCUGAGUUGUUAUUUAGAUGUUGUAUUUCCUGGGAAAUUCAUUAGAACUCAUAAACUAAUACUGAGCCUAUGGAUGGCUGCCCACUAUCAAUGUAUCUGGAGGUAUAUGAGAGACAAAAUUCACAUUGAAGGAAUGUAUUGAGUGAAUCUGCCAAAGUGUGACUCUAAGAUAACAGCAGAACGAAUCCACAGCAACAGAGAAGUAACAAAAAGAACAAAGACUCGACGGGACAGUGAGGAAAGAGGAUAGUAAUACUGCUAAGGAUGGCAACAUGGCACAUCCAGGUACUGGCUAGGAGUCACCAUUUUACCAAGUCAAGGGAAUAAAGGUGAACGUGGUUCUACAUUCUGAGGGCAAUAGACUGAAUUCAUGUAAGUUGACAUAUCCAGAGCCUAAAAUAGGAAACCUUCAAGUAGAUCAUCGAUUGCUGAUUCAGAUAACAAGCACCCCUUGCUGCAGUGUUUCCAGUUCUCAGAAAGGAUGAUGCUUCCAAAUCUUGGGAGAGAUGAUUCAACACUAAAGAUAACGUCUUGAUCCUGCUCCAGAGAGGAGAACACACAGGACAAUAACAGCCAGCCCUAGGCUUAUAAAGACCCAUUUUCAACAGAAUUGUUCUGAAAGACAUCUGGAUAAAACUGCAGCAUCCCCUAGCAAUAGUCAUGACAGCCCAGAACGAUUUUCAGCUAUCUCAAAAACAGGUUUUGCAGCAGUUGGAGAAUGAAGGAAACGGUUACCUCAGCUAAACCAGAAGACACAUAUGCCUGUCCUCAGUCUGUCAAACUGUGGAAUACUUUAGCUCAGUUAUUUGAACUAUACCUGCUCUCUUAUGCAUAUCAGCUGAAUAAAGUCUUUAAACCAUGAUUUUUUUUUCUUUUUUUGCCACAUCUCAAGGUAAGUAAAUUAGGUAAAGAUGGUUGCAGAAAUUUAUGUGCUCUACUUUGUUAUUUUUAAUCAGUGAUGAGGUAAUGGCUGGGGAAGGACUGAUUUUAGGAUGGUCAUGGUCAUUUGUUUAGCCUAGCUAGAAGACUUCCCUGAAAUGAAUUGUCAUAGACACUGUUUUACUUCAUUUGUAAUCUUAUCUUCCAGGAACAACACAUUGGAAAAAGUAGCUGUAUAUUUUUUUUUAAUUUAUCUAUUUAUUUGAAAGAGAGUAACAGAGAGAGGGGGAAGACACUAUGAGAGAGAUCCUCUAUCUGCUGGUUCACUCCUCAAAUGGCCACAAUAGCUGGGUUAGGCCAGGGUGAAUCCAGGAACUCUAUCCAGGCCUCCUCAGUGGAUAGUAGGGACCCAAGAACUUGGGCCAUUUUCUGCUGCUUUCCCAGGUGCAUUAGCAGGGGGCUGGUUCAAAAGUGGACCAACAAAGACUCAAACUGGCCCUUAUAUAGGAUGCAAACAUCACAGGCAGCAGAUUAUCCUGCUAUGCCAUAAUGCUGGUCCCUAUUUUAGUUUUUAAUGUCUGUUCCAGUAGUAUUUCAACUAGUUACAAAGGUAAGUGUCUGAGCAGUGGUUAGGAUGCCGCACUAAAUACGCUCAUCCCAUAUCAGAGUGCUGAUUCCUAACUACUCUGCUUUGGAUCCAGCUUUUUGUUAAUAUGCACCCUGGGUGGCACCAGAUGAUGGUUAAAAUACUUGGGUAUUUGGUACCCAUGUGUGAGACUCACUGGGAUCUGGGCUUUGUCCUGAUCCAGUCCUGGCUUUUGAAGGCAUCUAGGAUGGAGGUAGGAGAUGAAAGAGUACUUAUGAGGUCUCUCUUUGUAGGCUGUCUGUGUCUCCAUCAUUCAAAUAAAAUGAAAACAGAUAAAUAAAAAUUGAAGAACAUAAUUAAGUAAAUACAACAGUGUAUGUUUGACCCCAACAUUUUUCAGUAUAACAAUAUGUGUGGUUCUAAGAUUAUUUAGUAUCCGCACUUGAAAAUUUUUAAAUUUUUAUUUACUAGCCAUAUAUUCAGUAUUACCUUGCAUUUAUUUAUUGUAAUUAUUUAUAAUUGCAGCUAUUACAACAACGAUAAUUAUUUAACCAUUAUAGACAUUGAUAGUUGCAGGCCAAAUAGUAUUUUAUUCAUCUUUGUAAGCCAUUUGGUGAGUGUUUUGUAGGCAUAAAAUGCAAAGAAGUUUAUUUAUAUUAAGAGACAUAUUUAGAGGAUAACAACUUUAUGAGUAAAGCCCAAUACCACAAAAAUUUAAUACAUUUCUAAUCUAUGUUGAACUGUAUUAAAUCAUUUGCUUACUAUAACCCAAGGUUUAGCCUAAGGUAUAUCUGGAUUAAAAGCAUGCAUUUCUCUUCCAUGGAUAAAGAUCUUUGAGAUUACAUUUCUGUUCUCAAUUAAAUCAUAUUCUAACCAAAAAUGAAGUCUUUCAUAUAAUUUAACAGAUACAUAAGGUGUAUCAAGGACCCCUCCAUGUAAAAUGCAACCAACAGAUAAUCUGUGUCCCUUUGAUUCAUUCAGUAGUCACAGAAAGGAAAAUGUUAAAUAUCAAAUAAGAGAUUUACAUUUAAGGCAAUGAAAUAUCAACAAUUUAUGAAGUUUCAUCUUAUUUUCUCAAUCUUUUAUGCCUUUUCAGACAUAUUUUAUUUUCAGGAAUGUUGAUAGGAUGAAAAACUGAUUGCAAGAAACAUUUGUUACAUAACAUCUGCAAGGAGGGGAUAAAUAAGUGCUUUUGAUUUCUUAUCACCCAGAAAUAUUGGGACCAGUGUUGUGGGAUAGCAGGUAAAGCUGCUGCCUGCAACACCAGCAUCCAUAUGGGUGCUAGUUGGUGUCCUGACUGCUCCACUUUCAAUCCAGUUCCCUGCUAAUAGCCUAGGAAAAGUGGUAGAAGAUGGCCC